rnacentral:rRNA from 1 species
UGGGGAAUAUUGGACAAUGGGCGCAAGCCUGAUCCAGCCAUGCCGCGUGAGUGAUGAAGGCCCUAGGGUUGUAAAGCUCUUUCACCGGUGAAGAUAAUGACGGUAACCGGAGAAGAAGCCCCGGCUAACUUCGUGCCAGCAGCCGCGGUAAUACGAAGGGGGCUAGCGUUGUUCGGAUUUACUGGGCGUAAAGCGCACGUAGGCGGACUAUUAAGUCAGGGGUGAAAUCCCGGGGCUCAACCCCGGAACUGCCUUUGAUACUGGUAGUGUUGAGUUCGAGAGAGGUGAGUGGAAUUCCGAGUGUAGAAGUGAAAUUCGUAGAUAUUCGGAGGAACACCAGUGGCGAAGGCGGCUCACUGGCUCGAUAAUGACGCUGAGGAGCGAAAGCGUGGGGAGCAAACAGG